UAGGGAAUCUUCCACAAUGGACGCAAGUCUGAUGGAGCAACGCCGCGUGAGCGAAGAAGGUUUUCGGAUCGUAAAGCUCUGUUGUUGGUGAAGAAGGAUAGAGGCAGUAACUGGUCUUUAUUUGACGGUAAUCAACCAGAAAGUCACGGCUAACUACGUGCCAGCAGCCGCGGUAAUACGUAGGUGGCAAGCGUUGUCCGGAUUUAUUGGGCGUAAAGCGAGCGCAGGCGGAAUGAUAAGUCUGAUGUGAAAGCCCACGGCUCAACCGUGGAACUGCAUCGGAAACUGUCAUUCUUGAGUGCAGAAGAGGAGAGUGGAACUCCAUGUGUAGCGGUGGAAUGCGUAGAUAUAUGGAAGAACACCAGUGGCGAAGGCGGCUCUCUGGUCUGCAACUGACGCUGAGGCUCGAAAGCAUGGGUAGCGAACAGGAUUAGAUACCCUGGUAGUCCAUGCCGUAAACGAUGAGCGCUAGGUGUUGGGGACUUUCCGGUCCUCAGUGCCGCAGCAAACGCAUUAAGCGCUCCGCCUGGGGAGUACGACCGCAAGGUUGAAAC
rnacentral:rRNA from 1 species